CACGUAGGGUGCGAGCGUUGUCCGGAAUUAUUGGGCGUAAAGAGCUCGUAGGUGGCCUGUCGCGUCGGCUGUGAAAACUCGGGGCUCAACUCCGAGCUUGCAGUCGAUACGGGCAGGCUAGAGUUCGGCAGGGGAGACUGGAAUUCCUGGUGUAGCGGUGAAAUGCGCAGAUAUCAGGAGGAACACCGGUGGCGAAGGCGGGUCUCUGGGCCGAUACUGACACUGAGGAGCGAAAGCGUGGGGGAGCGAACAGG
rnacentral:rRNA from 1 species